GCUGGGCAUGGUGGCCCAUGCCUGUAAUCCCAGCUACUGGGGAGGCUGAGGCAGGAGAAUUGCUUGAACCUGGGAGGUGGAGGUUGCAGUGAGCCAAGAUAGCGCCAUUGUACUCUAGCCUGGGCAACAGAGCAAGAUUCUGUCUCAA
ensembl:misc_RNA Metazoa_SRP Metazoan signal recognition particle RNA